CCUACGGGAGGCAGCAGUGGGGAAUAUUUCACAAUGGGGGAAACCCUGAUGCUGCGACGCCGCGUGAGUGAAGAAGUAUUUCGGUAUGUUAAGCUCUAUCAGUAGGGAAGAAAAUGACGGUACCUGUUUAAGAAGCCCCGGCUAACUACGUGCCAGCAGCCGCGGUAAUACGUAGGGGGCAAGCGUUAUCCGGAUUUACUGGGUGUAAAGGGAGCGUAGACGGCAGCACAAGUCUGGAGUGAAAUGCCGGGGCUGAACCCCGGAACUGCUUUGGAAACUGUGCAGCUAGAGUGCAGGAGAGGUAAGUGGAAUGCCUAGUGUAGCAGUGAAAUGCGUAGAUAUUAGGAGGAACACCAGUGGCGAAGGCGGGUUACUGGACUGUAACUGACGUUGAGGCUCGAAAGCGUGGGGAGCGAACAGGAUUAGAUACCCCUGUAGUC
rnacentral:rRNA from 1 species